AGCAGUCGCCGCGGUAAUACGGAGGGUGCAAGCGUUAUCCGGAUUUAUUGGGUUUAAAGGGUCCGUAGGCGGAUCUGUAAGUCAGUGGUGAAAUCUCACAGCUUAACUGUGAAACUGCCAUUGAUACUGCAGGUCUUGAGUAAAUUUGAAGUGGCUGGAAUAAGUAGUGUAGCGGUGAAAUGCAUAGAUAUUACUUAGAACACCAAUUGCGAAGGCAGGUCACUAAGAUUUAACUGACGCUGAUGGACGAAAGCGUGGGGAGCGAACAGGAUUAGAUACCCGUGUAGUCCCUGUCUCUUAUAU
rnacentral:rRNA from 1 species